GUAGACGUUAGCACAGUGGUUAGAGCACAGGCCUCUGGCUCUCUGGGUCCGCGAGUUCGAGUCCCGUUGUCUACU
rnacentral:tRNA from 1 species